GCGCGCGUAGCUCAACGGCAGAGCAUCGAGCUUAUACCUCGACGGUUCCUGGUUCGAAUCCAGGCGCGCGCA
rnacentral:tRNA from 1 species